rnacentral:rRNA from 1 species
UACGUAGGGUGCAAGCGUUGUCCGGAAUUAUUGGGCGUAAAGAGCUCGUAGGCGGUUUGUCGCGUCUGCUGUGAAAUCCCAGGGCUUAACCCUGGGCCUGCAGUGGGUACGGGCAAACUAGAGUGCGGUAGGGGAGAUCGGAAUUCCAGGUGUAGCGGUGAAAUGCGUAGAUAUCUGGAGGAAUACCGGUGGCGAAGGCGGCAUCCUGGACCAUAACUGACGCUGAGGCGCGAAAGCUAGGGGAGCAAACGGG